rnacentral:rRNA from 1 species
GACGAACGCUGGCGGCGUGCUUAACACAUGCAAGUCGAACGGAAAGGCCCUGCUUUUGUGGGGUGCUCGAGUGGCGAACGGGUGAGUAACACGUGAGUAACCUGCCCUUGACUUUGGGAUAACUUCAGGAAACUGGGGCUAAUAUCGGACAGGAGCUCCUGCUGCAUGGAGGGGGUGGGAAAGUUUCGGCGGUUGGGGAUGGACUCGCGGCUUAUCAGCUUGUUGGUGGGGUAGUGGCUUACCAAGGCUUUGACGGGUAGCCGGCCUGGGAGGGUGACCGGCCACAUUGGGACUGCGGUACGGCCCAGACUCCUACGGGAGGCAGCAGUGGGGAGUAUUGCACAGUGGGCGGAAGCCUGAUGCAGCAACGCCGCGUGCGGGAUGACGGCCUUCGGGUUGUGAACCGCUUUCGCCUGUGACGAAGCGUGAGUGACGGUAAUGGGUAAAGAAGCACCGGCUAACUACGUG